UCCUGCUUAGCUCAGUUGGUAGAGCGCGUCACUAGUACUACCUAGUUUAUGACGAGGUCAGUCGUUCAAAUCGGCUAGAAGGAA